rnacentral:rRNA from 1 species
CUGAGAAGAUAGUGGCGAACGGGUGAGGUAACACGUGGGUAACCUGCCCAUAAGAGGGGGAUAACAUCCGGAAACGGGUGCUAAUACCGCAUAGUUUCUUGAUCGCAUGAUUGAGAAAGGAAAGACGGCCUUUGUGCUGUCGCUUAUGGAUGGACCCGCGGCGUAUUAGUUAGUUGGUGAGGUAACGGCUCACCAAGACGAUGAUACGUAGCCGACCUGAGAGGGUGAUCGGCCACAUUGGGACUGAGACACGGCCCAAACUCCUACGGGAGGCAGGCAGUAGGGAAUCUUCCGCAAUGGACGAAAGUCUGACGGAGCAACGCCGCGUGAGUGAAGAAAAGGUUUUCGGAUCGUAAAACUCUGUUGUCAGAGAAGAACAAGUUGGAGAGUAACUGCUCCAGCCUUGACGGUAUCUGACCAGAAAGCCACGGCUAACUACGUGCCAGCCGCAGC